GAUGAACGCUGGCGGCGUGCCUAAUACAUGCAAGUCGAGCGAACAGACGAGGAGCUUGCUCCUCUGACGUUAGCGGCGGACGGGUGAGUAACACGUGGAUAACCUACCUAUAAGACUGGGAUAACUUCGGGAAACCGGAGCUAAUACCGGAUAAUAUAUUGAACCGCAUGGUUCAAUAGUGAAAGACGGUUUUGCUGUCACUUAUAGAUGGAUCCGCGCCGCAUUAGCUAGUUGGUAAGGUAACGGCUUACCAAGGCGACGAUGCGUAGCCGACCUGAGAGGGUGAUCGGCCACACUGGAACUGAGACACGGUCCAGACUCCUACGGGAGGCCGCAGUAGGGACUCUUCCGCCAUGGGCGAAAGCCUGACGGAGCAACGCCGCGUGAGUGCUGAAGGUCUUCGGAUCGUAAAACUCUGUUAUUAGGGAAGAACAAAUGUGUAAGUAACUAUGCACGUCUUGACGGUACCUAAUCAGAAAGCCACGGCUAACUACGUG
rnacentral:rRNA from 1 species